AAUGGACCGCCGAUCAUAUCUUGAAUGAAUUCGAAAAACUUGUAAUAACAUUCUUUAGUAGUUUGGUCAAUAAAAUAGUGCUCUAAUCUUCAGAAGUCUGAGUUCUGAAGGUUUUUUGUUGUGUUUUCCAAACUGUGAGUCGUUCUGACUGGACCCUGGAGCUUUCACUGUGUGAGAUAUACUGUACGUUAUACAGCUUAUUGAAUUUCACUGACUUAUUCCACAUUGCGAAGCCAAAUUCAAUGUCUGCAUCUACAAGAAGAGAUAGAAAAAAUAGAUGUAAAACGAUUCCACGGGGCACUGUCAAUUUGGUGCGGUUGUAAUUUGUUUGCUAGAGCCAAUAAGAGCACAUUUUCUUCCAUCUUCACAGGAGCAAAGUAUAACAUCUUCCCAUCUUGCACAUAAACCUGACACAGCAGGUUAAUAAAACAGUUAAUAAACAGUACACAUGUGAACCGCAAUUCCUUGCUGCAUAUUCUGAAUAGUUGCCUUGCAAAUGAAUCACUUUAUAUAAACAAAUAUGUCAAGAUUGUCGACAGAUAAGAGAAAAAGUACUGCAUUUAUGUUUUUAUUCUUUGUUCAAAUGCUGCAACAGUAAGUAGUUUCAAAUCUCAUCACUACAACAAUAAACAGAUGCUGACAUGUUGCAUGAGAGCGGAAAACAAAUGUUUGUUGUUUGUUUUUUACCAUAGUUUGAAGGAUGCAUGCAGGAUUGUAAUUGGUGUUUUGUUGUGCACAUAAAUAAUGUGUCUGUGUGUGUGUGUGUGUGUGUUACAGUGUUGGAGCCCACAGCAAUUAAAGACAUCCAUCAGAUUAUGAACGUGGUAUCGGGAAGCCGUGGGACCCAGAACGUGACCAGGGUAACCACGACAACCGCAGGGAAACACACAGAUUCCUCUUGUGAUAUUCACUUUAACUGUGUGUGCGAUGAGACACAGGACGUCAGAGACGGUCACUGGUUUUCCAAUCACUUCAUGUCAUCAAUAUAUAAAACUUGCUUAAGAGAGCCAAUCCAUCACAAUGACCAUACAGUCACCUUUGUUAAGUUCUGUGUGGUUAUACACUGGGAAAGCAUGGAUUGUUUAUUUGUGGAAGCGGCUUCAGAGUCGACCCUUUAUAAAGAGUGGCGUAAAGAAACGUGCAGGUAAAGUCAUUUUGGAAUUUAUUUUCAAAGUUGAGGACCAUUCCUAGUGAGUUAACAUUAAGAUAACGUACUCUGAUUUAAUUUUCGUCCCAAAUUGUCUGUACCUGAAGAAAUGGUCGUAGAAACAAAGCAGCAUGAUUGUAACUAUCGUAACUUAUUAUUUUCAUCAAUAAAUAUCAGUUAAG
rnacentral:lncRNA from 1 species